CCUACGGGUGGCAGCAGUGAGGAAUAUUGGUCAAUGGCCGGAAGGCUGAACCAGCCAUGCCGCGUGAAGGUCAGUGCCCUAUGGGCGUUAAACUUCUUUUGUGCGGGAGCAAUAAUGGUCACGUGUGGCCAGACGAGAGUACCGUACGAAUAAGCAUCGGCUAACUCCGUGCCAGCAGCCGCGGUAAUACGGGGGAUGCAAGCGUUAUCCGGAUUUAUUGGGUUUAAAGGGUGCGUAGGCUGGGAGGUAAGUCAGCGGUGAAAUGCCCCCGCUCAACGGGGUGAAGUGCCAUUGAUACUGCCUGGCUGGAAUGCGGAUGCCGUGGGAGGAAUGUGUGGUGUAGCGGUGAAAUGCAUAGAUAUCACACAGAACACCGAUUGCGAAGGUAUCUCACGAAUCCGCGAUUGACGCUGAUGCACGAAAGCGUGGGUAUCAAACAGGAUUAGAUACCCCAGUAGUC
rnacentral:rRNA from 1 species